rnacentral:rRNA from 1 species
AACGUAGGGGGCUAGCGUUGCCCGGAAUCACUGGGCGUAAAGCGGGUGUAGGCGGUUCUUUAAGUCGGAUGUGAAAUCCAGCGGCCCAACCGCUGAAUUGCAUCCGAUACUGGGGAACUUGAGGACGGUAGAGGUCGGUGGAAUUUCCGGUGUAGCGGUGAAAUGCGUAGAUAUCGGAAGGAACACCAGUGGCGAAAGCGGCUUCCUGGUCCAGCACCGACGUUCAGGCACGAAAGCGUGGGGAGCAAACAGG